GGAGAUUUUUUGUCAAUCACAUAGUUUAAACUUUGAUAAACAAACUGAAAUGUGUUCCAAAAUCAGAAGAAAGAAUAUAAAUUUCCUUUCAGUUGUAACAUGGCAUACUAUACAUCUCCAAUAAUUCAAUUUCAAAACUGAACGAAAGGAAAAUCACUCCCCUUAAUGGUGUUUCCACGUUUUUCUUCCUAUGCUAUGGUCAAGAAAUUAAGCUAAACAAUUUAAAGCUCAUCAUGUGAAUCAUCAUCAUCAUCUUCUCCACCUGAAGGGCCUCCUGGGGCUCCACCAGACCUCUGAUAAACAGCAGUUAUGAUGGGGUUGCAUACAGCCUCUACCUCCUUCAGCUUCUCCUCAUAGUCCUCCUUCUCAGCCUUCUGAUUGUCGUCUAGCCACUCAAGGGCUUCAUUAACUGCUGUCUCAAUCUUUUCCUUCUCAUCAGAUUCUAAUUUGUCAGCCAACUUGUCCUUAUCGUUGAUCUGGUUCUUCAUGUUGUAAACAUAUGUCUCUAAGCUGUUACGGGCAUCAAUCUUCUCCUUGACUUUCUUGUCUUCCUCUGCAAACUCCUCAGCCUCCCGGACCAUCCUGUCAAUCUCCUCCUGACUCAGCCUACCCUUGUCAUUUGUAAUGGUGAUUUUCUCAGAUUUCCCUGAGGCCUUGUCCUCAGCCUUAACAUUUAGGAUACCAUUGGCAUCA
rnacentral:misc_RNA from 1 species